GAUGAAGAACGUAGCGAAAUGCGAUAAGUAGUGUGAAUUGCAGAAUUCCGUGAAUCAUCAAAUCUUUGAACGCACAUUGCGCCUUCUGGUAUUCCGGAAGGCAUGCCUGUUCGAGAGUCAUUAACAACCGUUUCGAUCCCUUUCUUUCAGAAAUUACAAAGAGGAAAAGGGUUUGGUUAUGGUGGAGGAGGGAAAGGGAGCGUUUAGCCUGUAAAAAAAGAGGCUGUGUUCCGCCUCCCCCCCAAAAUUGUACAGGCGGUCGUGUGCGCCCACGCAUCGAGGUGUUGUAAAAGCUGCCACGGCACUUUUCACCUGUGCAGUGCGAGAUUGGCCAGCCGGUUUAAAAACCCCUCCAAACAAUCAAAGGUUGACCUCGGAUCAGGUAGGGAUACCCGCUGAACUUAAGCAUAUCAAUAAGCGGAGGA
rnacentral:misc_RNA from 1 species